rnacentral:lncRNA from 1 species
CACUAGACCAGGCUGCCCAGAGCCACAUCCAGCCUGGCCUUGAAUGCCUCCAGGGAUGGGGCAUCCACAACCUCCUUGGGCAACCUGUUCCAGUGCGUCACCACCCUCUGAGUGAAAAACUUCCUCCUAAUAUCUAACCUAAGCCUCCCCUGUCCCAGUUUAAAACCAUUCCCCCUUGUCCUAUCACUAUCCACCCUCAUAAACAGCCAUUCCCCCUCCUGUUUAUACGUUCCCUUCAAGUACUGGAAGGCCACAAUGAGGUCUCCCCGGGGCCUUCUCCAAGCUAAACAAUCCCAGUUCCCUCAACCUUUCUCCAUAGAAGAGGUGCUCCAGCCCUCUGAUCAUCUUAGAAGAAGAACAAUUUAUUACAGAUCACACAAAUGAAUAUUACCAUACAACAAUGUAUAUGGAUGUACUACUUCAGCUGUUUUUUAUGACAAGAUUUUCAACACUUUUUCUGAAAGCAGCCCCUUGAUCUGAAGCACAAAGAAGAGGCCAUCUUGCCUGGGGCAAGAUAAUUGCUGCUUCACUGAACUGAACAUUAGGCUCAUGUAAAAAUACAACCAAGGUGAUUCAUCACAACUCAAGACGCCUGCUUUCCUUAAGCCUUCUGGAGGUGGUGUAUAGGCAAGGCAGCAUUACUCAAUCCUUAAUGUCAAGCCUCUCCAACGCGUGAUUUUCAAUCUUGCUGGAAAAGAAGCAUGAAAAACAAAACCAGUUUCCUAAUGUAAUUAUUAUCUGAGGAUAUUCACGCCUAUUCUCCCCUCCGCAUCACCAUUUUCCCCUCAAUAUAUACGCUGAGCACAUGCAAAAUAGCAGUUGGAAAACUACCAAACCAAAGAAAAACCCUAAUGAGUUCUCACAAAUUCUCCCUGAUAUUAGAUGACAGUUGCAUAGUGAAAUAUCUCACUAAGAGUGGGCAAAAGGCAUGAACACCUGUUAAAUAUUUGAUAUCAUGUUGUUGGACACCAACAAACCCAAAUUCCUAAGUAAGUGGUCAAAUUUUUCACCAUAUGAACGCGCAGACAUUUC